rnacentral:rRNA from 1 species
AGCAGUAGCCGCGGUAAUACGAAGGGUGCAAGCGUUAAUCGGAAUUACUGGGCGUAAAGCGCACGUAGGCGGAUCGAUCAGUCAGGGGUGAAAUCCCAGAGCUCAACUCUGGAACUGCCUUUGAUACUGUCGAUCUGGAGUAUGGAAGAGGUGAGUGGAAUUCCGAGUGUAGAGGUGAAAUUCGUAGAUAUUCGGAGGAACACCAGUGGCGAAGGCGGCUCACUGGUCCAUUACUGACGCUGAGGUGCGAAAGCGUGGGGAGCAAACAGGAUUAGAUACCCCAGUAGUCCCUGUCUCUUAUAC